GGAAGUGGUCCGGUGGGUCGAGGGGCCUGCUUUGAAAGCAGGUAACGCCGUCAGGCGUCGCAGGUUCGAGUCCUGCCGCUUCCGCCA
rnacentral:tRNA from 1 species